UACGUAGGGUGCAAGCGUUAAUCGGAAUUACUGGGCGUAAAGCGUGCGCAGGCGGUUUUGUAAGUCAGAUGUGAAAUCCCCGGGCUUAACCUGGGAACUGCGUUUGAAACUACAAGGCUAGAGUGUGGCAGAGGGGGGUGGAAUUCCACGUGUAGCAGUGAAAUGCGUAGAGAUGUGGAGGAACACCGAUGGCGAAGGCAGCCCCUGGGUUAACACUGACGCUCAUGCACGAAAGCGUGGGGAGCAAACAGGAU
rnacentral:rRNA from 1 species